CUGUGAGCUCGAUGAGUAGGGCGGGACACGUGGUAUCCUGUCUGAAUAUGGGGGGACCAUCCUCCAAGGCUAAAUACUCCUGACUGACCGAUAGUGAACCAGUACCGUGAGGGAAAGGCGAAAAGAACCCCGGCGAGGGGAGUGAAAAAGAACCUGAAACCGUGUACGUACAAGCAGUGGGAGCCUCUUUAUGGGGUGACUGCGUACCUUUUGUAUAAUGGGUCAGCGACUUAUAUUCUGUAGCAAGGUUAACCGAAUAGGGGAGCCGAAGGGAAACCGAGUCUUAACUGGGCGUUAAGUUGCAGGGUAUAGACCCGAAACCCGGUGAUCUAGCCAUGGGCAGGUUGAAGGUUGGGUAACACUAACUGGAGGACCGAACCGACUAAUGUUGAAAAAUUAGCGGAUGACUUGUGGCUGGGGGUGAAAGGCCAAUCAAACCGGGAGAUAGCUGGUUCUCCCCGAAAGCUAUUUAGGUAGCGCCUCGUGAAUUCAUCUCCGGGGGUAGAGCACUGUUUCGGCAAGGGGGUCAUCCCGACUUACCAACCCGAUGCAAACUGCGAAUACCGGAGAAUGUUAUCACGGGAGACACACGGCGGGUGCUAACGUCCGUCGUGAAGAGGGAAACAACCCAGACCGCCAGCUAAGGUCCCAAAGUCAUGGUUAAGUGGGAAACGAUGUGGGAAGGCCCAGACAGCCAGGAUGUUGGCUUAGAAGCAGCCAUCAUUUAAAGAAAGCGUAAUAGCUCACUGGUCGAGUCGGCCUGCGCGGAAGAUGUAACGGGGCUAAACCAUGCACCGAAGCUGCGGCAGCGACACUAAGUGUUGUUGGGUAGGGGAGCGUUCUGUAAGCCUGUGAAGGUGUACUGUGAGGUAUGCUGGAGGUAUCAGAAGUGCGAAUGCUGACAUAAGUAACGAUAAAGCGGGUGAAAAGCCCGCUCGCCGGAAGACCAAGGGUUCCUGUCCAACGUUAAUCGGGGCAGGGUGAGUCGACCCCUAAGGCGAGGCCGAAAGGCGUAGUCGAUGGGAAACAGGUUAAUAUUCCUGUACUUGGUGUUACUGCGAAGGGGGGACGGAGAAGGCUAUGUUGGCCGGGCGACGGUUGUCCCGGUUUAAGCGUGUAGGCUGGUUUUCCAGGCAAAUCCGGAAAAUCAAGGCUGAGGCGUGAUGACGAGGCACUACGGUGCUGAAGCAACAAAUGCCCUGCUUCCAGGAAAAGCCUCUAAGCAUCAGGUAACAUCAAAUCGUACCCCAAACCGACACAGGUGGUCAGGUAGAGAAUACCAAGGCGCUUGAGAGAACUCGGGUGAAGGAACUAGGCAAAAUGGUGCCGUAACUUCGGGAGAAGGCACGCUGAUAUGUAGGUGAAGCGACUUGCUCGUGGAGCUGAAAUCAGUCGAAGAUACCAGCUGGCUGCAACUGUUUAUUAAAAACACAGCA
rnacentral:rRNA from 1 species